CGAGCUAUUAGCUCAGUGGUAGAGCGCGCCCCUGAUAGGCGGAUGUCAGCGGUUCGAGUCCGCUUAUCUCCA
rnacentral:tRNA from 1 species